UACGGGGGGGGCAAGCGUUGUUCGGAAUUACUGGGCGUAAAGGGUCUGUAGGUGGCUUGCUAAGUCAGACGUGAAAUCCCCAGGCUCAACCUGGGAACUGCGUCUGAUACUGGAUGGCUUGAAUCCGGGAGAGGGAUGCAGAAUUCCAGGUGUAGCGGUGAAAUGCGUAGAUAUCUGGAGGAAUACCGGUGGCGAAGGCGGCAUCCUGGACCGGCAUUGACGCUGAGGAGCGAAAGCCAGGGGAGCAAACGGG
rnacentral:rRNA from 1 species